rnacentral:rRNA from 1 species
CCUACGGGGGGCUGCAGUCGAGAAUAGUCUACAAUGGACGAAAGUCUGAUAGUGCGACGCCGCGUGAACGAAGACUCCCUAACAGGGUGUAAAGUUCUUUUAUAUGUGAGCAAUGGUUUGUACAUUAAUAGUGUGCGAGCAGAGAUAUUAGCAUAUGAAUAAGCAACGGCUAACUCCGUGCCAGCAGCCGCGGUAACACGGGGGUUGCAAGCGUUGUCCGGAAUUACUAGGCGUAAAGGGCAGGUAGGCGGAUCAGUAAGUUUGAUGUUAAAUCCAUCGGCUCACCCGAUGACAGGCAUCAGAUACUGCUGAUCUGGAAUACGGUUGAGGAAGACAGAAUUCCUGGUGUAGCGGUGGAAUGCGCAGAGAUCAGGAGGAAUACCGAAUGCGAAGGCAGUCUUCUGGGCCGUUAUUGACGCUAAACUGCGAAGGUGUGGGGAUCAAACAGGAUUAGAUACCCCGGUAGUC